GCUGACCGAGCGCACCCCGCCCCCGGCGCCAUCUUCCCGACCGCGAGCCGUCCAGGUCUCAGUGCUGUGCCCCCCCCAGAGCCUAGAGGAUGUUUCAUGGGAUCCCAGCCACGCCGGGCAUAGGAGGUGAGUGUGGCUGGAAGGGCGCAGGCUUUCAGCCGCUUCUGCAGGGGCUGACGGGCAGUAUUGGGUAUUGGGGAUCGGGGGUGGGGAGGUAUCUGACCCUGCUCUCGUACAGCCUUGGGGGUGGCCAGGGGCUAAAUAGUUCAUUGCAGGAGCACUGAGGGCUCAGAAACCUCCAGACAGAACUGGCUUGGUCCUGCUGGGCAGAGAUGAUGAGCUUCGGUGUGGCCAGAACGGUGGGGGUCCUGGGCACCCUGUGUCACCAAUCCCAGGGGAGAGGCUGUGUGUGGUGAGCCUUGUUGGCACUGCAUCAUGAGCCACGAGCAGGGCGUGGCCACUGUUGUGCAGGUGACUCCGCCAGGGAGCCAUGGUGGAGCUGGGGAGCUGGGCCUGUCAUGCGGUCCCCCGGGGAGCCGCAGUGGAGCUGGGGAGCUGGGCCUG
rnacentral:lncRNA from 1 species